UUUUAAUGAGAGUUUGAUCCUGGCUCAGGACGAACGCUGGCGGCGUGCCUAAUACAUGCAAGUAGAACGCUGAGGAUUGGUGCUUGCACUAAUCCAAAGAGUUGCGAACGGGUGAGUAACGCGUAGGUAACCUACCUCAUAGCGGGGGAUAACUAUUGGAAACGAUAGCUAAUACCGCAUGACACUAGAGUACACAUGUACU
rnacentral:rRNA from 1 species